rnacentral:rRNA from 1 species
CCUACGGGUGGCAGCAGUGAGGAAUAUUGGUCAAUGGGCGGAAGCCUGAACCAGCCAAGUAGCGUGCGGGAUGACGGCCCUACGGGUCGUAAACCGCUUUUGCACGGGGAUAACACCCUCCACUUGUGGCGGUCUGCAGGUCCCGUGCGAAUAAGGGCCGGCUAAUUCCGUGCCAGCAGCCGCGGUAAUACGGAAGGCCCGAGCGUUAUCCGGAUUCAUUGGGUUUAAAGGGAGCGUAGGCGGGCGGUAAAGUCAGCUGUAAAAUCGCGCGGCUCAACCACUGCCCGCAGUUGAAACUGGGGGCCUUGAGUUGAAAAGAGGCAUGCGGAAUGCGUGGUGUAGCGGUGAAAUGCAUAGAUAUCACGCAGAACCCCGAUUGCGAAGGCAGCCUGCCGGGGUCCGACUGACGCUGAGGCACGAAGGUGUGGGUAUCAAACAGGAUUAGAUACCCCUGUAGUC